AGUAAAAUGCCUGAGUAAAGGAUUAUUUUGAUAGAAUAAACAAUGUAAUAAAAUUACUUUUACUG
rnacentral:tRNA from 1 species